GAUGAAGAACGUAGCGAAAUGCGAUAAGUAAUGUGAAUUGCAGAAUUCAGUGAAUCAUCGAAUCUUUGAACGCACAUUGCGCCGCUUGGUAUUCCGAGGGGCAUGCCUGUUCGAGCGUCAUUACACCACUCAAGCUAUGCUUGGUAUUGGGCGUCGUCCUUAGUUGGGCGCGCCUUAAAGACCUCGGCGAGGCCACUCCGGCUUUAGGCGUAGUAGAAUUUAUUCGAACGUCUGUCAAAGGAGAGGAACUCUGCCGACUGAAACCUUUAUUUUUCUAGGUUGACCUCGGAUCAGGUAGGGAUACCCGCUGAACUUAAGCAUAUCAAUAAGCGGAGGA
rnacentral:misc_RNA from 1 species